rnacentral:rRNA from 1 species
UGGGGAAUAUUGCACAAUGGACGGAAGUCUGAUGCAGCAACGCCGCGUGCGGGAUGACGGCCUUCGGGUUGUAAACCGCGUUUUCUCAUGACGAAGUUUUUUGACGGUAGUGGGGGAAGAAGCACCGGCUAACUACGUGCCAGCAGCCGCGGUGAUACGUAGGGUGCGAGCGUUGUCCGGAAUUAUUGGGCGUAAAGAGCUUGUAGGCGGUUUGUCGCGUCGAUAGUGCAAACUCAGUGCUUAACGCUGAGCCUGCUGUUGAUACGGGCAGACUAGAGGAAGGUAGGGGAGAAUGGAAUUCCCGGUGGAGCGGUGGAAUGCGCAGAUAUCGGGAGGAACACCGGUGGCGAAGGCGGUUCUCUGGGCCUUUCCUGACGCUGAGAAGCGAAAGCGUGGGGAGCGAACAGG